UUGGGUCACCUCCCACCCGUGUUUAUUUUACCUUGUUGCUUCGGCGGGCCCGCCUUUACUGGCCGCCGGGGGGCUCACGCCCCCGGGCCCGCGCCCGCCGAAGACACCCCCGAACUCUGUCUGAAGAUUGAAGUCUGAGUGAAAAUAUAAAUUAUUUAAAACUUUCAACAACGGAUCUCUUGGUUCCGGCAUCGAUGAAGAACGCAGCGAAAUGCGAUACGUAAUGUGAAUUGCAAAUUCAGUGAAUCAUCGAGUCUUUGAACGCACAUUGCGCCCCCUGGUAUUCCGGGGGGCAUGCCUGUCCGAGCGUCAUUGCUGCCCUCAAGCCCGGCUUGUGUGUUGGGCCCCGUCCUCCGAUUCCGGGGGACGGGCCCGAAAGGCAGCGGCGGCACCGCGUCCGGUCCUCGAGCGUAUGGGGCUUUGUCACCCGCUCUGUAGGCCCGGCCGGCGCUUGCCGAUCAACCCAAAUUUUUAUCCAGGUUGACCUCGGAUCAGGUAGGGAUACCCGCUGAACUUAAGCAUAUCAAUAAGCGGAGGA
rnacentral:rRNA from 1 species